AUUGUGAUUUAUAGACCACCUACUUCUAUUGCCCACCUGUGUUGCCUUCCUUCCUUAUUUUUUUCUCUUUAAAUUCUUUAAAGAAAGUUUUCUGUCUUCCUUUUAUGGAUUUCUAUGAGACCUUUGUCUUUCAUUCACCUGCCGCUAUGUCGGUUUCUUCUGCGCCUUUCGAUCGGGGAGAACCUCCUUUUCAUCACUUGGAGGAUCCAUGAGAAGCUGGCUCGUAGAGCAUGGCCUUAGAAGGCACAAUUGAAACGCCAAAGAGCACACCCACGCCAAAGAGCACACCCCCUUCUCCUUCAGCGGCAACUCAUUGAUCCGUAAAAGUCUUUGUAUGCAAGUUUGAAGGUUCACAAAUUUAUUUUUUAUACAUAUUGUCAUCCUUCGACGAAGGGAGGUAUGACAGUGACUUGCAUAAUAAUGCUCGAAAAAUGCAAUUGGGUCACUAAAAAGGAUAUAUGAAAUCUUUAUUGACCCAAAUGGUCAAUUUUUGUAUAGUUAUAUUCUUCUGUCAAAAAAAUCUUGUGAUUGUAGUGUUAAAUAUGACUUUUUCUUCCCUAUAGUAGUGUCUAGUGGUUUAGUUUUUGAAUUGUCUCCUUAGUCUUUAGUUAUUUUUUUUUAUAUAGUUUUACGGCCACAGUAGCAUGAGAACCCUUAAA